GCCUGCAUAGCUCAGUUGGCCAGAGCGUCGGUUUUGUAAUCCGAAAGUCGGGGGUUCGAAUCCCUCUGCAGGCUCCA
rnacentral:tRNA from 1 species